rnacentral:lncRNA from 1 species
AGUUAUCAACCUCUUUGUUCUAUCCAUCGAUUCAAAGCCCACUAUUUUUCUUGCAAAUCCAAUCACAAAUCAAAAUCACAUUUCAAAGAACCAAACGUUCCUCUCAAAAUCUAAAAAUAUCCAUUAUGUUGUACAAAUUAGUUCAUAAAAACAACCCAAACAACUCUUCACCACACAUAGCAACCUCUUCAUCAUGCCGUCGCCGCCGCACGCCGCAGCCCCUCCAUGCCCCAUCGAGCUCAAGAGCCCCAAAUCUUGCGGUCGCGCAGCACCCCAAACAUCGAACUGGAAACCCAUGGAGGUUUUGCUACUCUUAAUGUAAUAGCAACCAAAGCCCCAAAUUUGGUCUAUCCAUCGAUUUGGGUAAACCUCGUCUUUUCAUUGACUUUAGGAGAAGACCCCAUCAUCAUCUCCACCAUCCGCCUCUCGCCUCCUUCCAUUUUUUUUAUUUUCUUUUUAUUCAUUCUUCAUGGCACCGAUCUUCUUCUUCUUCUCUCUCUAACGGAGGGACGAGUUGUGUUUAUUUGUUUUUGGAAUUGGGUAAUUUAAUCUUAGGGUUUGCAUAUUAUUGUUUAUUUGUUCUUAGAAUUGGUUAAUUUAAUUGGUACAAAUUAUUUUGACUGUGUCGUGCUCGCCAAUUGAAGUUU